rnacentral:rRNA from 1 species
CAGCCGCCGCGGUAAUACCGGCGGCCCGAGUGGCGGCCACUAUUAUUGGGCUUAAAGCGUCCGUAGCCGGGUUGGUUAGUCUCCCGGGAAAUCUGGCCGCUUAACGGUCAGAAUUCCGGGAGAUACUGCCAGCCUAGGGACCGGGAGAGGCCGAGGGUAUUCCCGGAGUAGGGGUGAAAUCCUAUAAUCCCGGGAGGACCACCUGUGGCGAAGGCGCUCGGCUGGAACCGGUCCGACGGGGAGGGACGAAGGCCAGGGGAGCAAACCUGAUUAGAUACCCGGGUAGUCCUGGCGGUAAACGAUGCGGACUUUGUGUCGGACAAGCUAUGAGCUUGUCCGGUGCCGGAGGGAAACCGUUAAGUCCGCCGCCUGGGGAGUACGGCCGCAAGGCUGAAACUUAAAGGAAUUGGCGGG